GUUUCACCUCCCUGUUCUUUGCAUGGUUCGCCCUAGCGACGCAAAGAAUUGGGAAGUGAAACCGGCCCACUCAGCCUGUAAGUCAAGACUGCAACGUGUCGUCCUCCACACCACCCUCCAGGGCCUGUGUUUUCCAGGGUUCUGAGAAUGGACCCCAUUGUGACCAUGUGGCUUGUCCAGAGAGGCUGGAAUUCCUGCCCUGGGUGAAAAAGAUGAAUUCCUGUGGAGAGAAGGGGUCUCGGGCUCCCCAGGCUAUGUCCCAGAGAAGCCACAUGCUACGGACAUCACAGACCCCCGAACCCCCCCGUAUUUUGCUUGUCUCCUGAACAUCCCAGAGGUCUCUGCUACUGCUCUGUCCAUAGCGAAAGAACAAAGCACUGUCUGUCUGUC